rnacentral:lncRNA from 1 species
UCCAUUUGUUCCUGCAUCUUACUUCUUAUGUAGGGUGUUCACUGUUUAUCUAGAUUAAGCAAUUUUCUUCCCUCGGUUGGAAUAUCCUGAAAAUGACUUAUUUGAAAAUCACCUGCGAAAGAGAAAACUAGAUUAGUAAAAAAAUCAGCAAGAGCAUUUCCUUACCUAAGGGAAUGUUGUACUCUUGCUGAAACACUUCUUUGCAAUCUCCUGAUGGUAUUGACUUCCAAAGCCA